rnacentral:rRNA from 1 species
UACAGAGGGUGCAAGCGUUAAUCGGAAUGACUGGGCGUAAAGCGUGCGUAGGUGGUGACUUAAGUUAGAUGUGAAAUCCCUGGGCUUAACCUAGGAACUGCAUAUAAUACUGGGACACUAGAGUAUGGGAGAGGUAAGUGGAAUUUCCGGUGUAGCGGUGAAAUGCGUAGAUAUCGGAAGGAACACCAGUGGCGAAGGCGGCUUACUGGCCUAAUACUGACACUGAGGCACGAAAGCGUGGGGAGCAAACAGGAUUAGAUACCCUGGUAGUCCACGCCGUAAACGAUGAGAACUAGAUGAUGGGGUCAAUUAAGAUCUUAGUAUCGAAGCUAACGCGUUAAGUUCUCCGCCUGGGGAGUACGGUCGCAAGAUUAAA